rnacentral:tRNA from 1 species
GGGCGAAUAGCUCAGUCGGGAGAGCAUCUGACUUACAUUCAGAAGGUCACAGGUUCGAGCCCUGUUUCGCCCAC